UACGUAGGGUGCGAGCGUUAAUCGGAAUUAUUGGGCGUAAAGCGUGCGCAGGUUGCUUCGCAAGUCAGGCGUGAAAUCCCCGGGCUUAACCCGGGAAUGGCGUCUGAAACUACGGAGCUAGAGUGUGGCAGAGGGAGGUAGAAUUCCACGUGUAGCGGUGAAAUGCGUAGAUAUGUGGAGGAAUACCGAUGGCGAAGGCAGCCACCUGGGCCAACACUGACACUCAUGCACGAAAGCGUGGGGAGCAAACAGG
rnacentral:rRNA from 1 species